GACGAACGCUGGCGGCGUGCUUAACACAUGCAAGUCGAGCGGAAAGGCCCUUCGGGGUACUCGAGCGGCGAACGGGUGAGUAACACGUGAGUAACCUGCCCCAGACUUUGGGAUAACCCUCGGAAACGGGGGCUAAUACCGGAUACGACACAGCUUCGCAUGGGGUCUGUGUGGAAAGUUUUUCGGUUUGGGAUGGGCUCGCGGCCUAUCAGCUUGUUGGUGGGGUGAUGGCCUACCAAGGCGACGACGGGUAGCCGGCCUGAGAGGGCGACCGGCCACACUGGGACUGAGACACGGCCCAGACUCCUACGGGAGGCAGCAGUGGGGAAUAUUGCACAAUGGGCGGAAGCCUGAGGCAGCGACGCCGCGUGAGGGAUGACGGCCUUCGGGUUGUAAACCUCUUUCAGCAGGGACGAAGCGUAAGUGACGGUACCUGCAGAAGAAGCGCCGGCCAACUACGU
rnacentral:rRNA from 1 species